CGAGCGAGCUUGCCUAGAUGAUUUUAGUGCUUGCACUAAAUGAAACUAGAUACAAGCGAGCGGCGGACGGGUGAGUAACACGUGGGUAACCUGCCCAAGAGACUGGGAUAACACCUGGAAACAGAUGCUAAUACCGGAUAACAACACUAGACGCAUGUCUAGAGUUUGAAAGAUGGUUCUGCUAUCACUCUUGGAUGGACCUGCGGUGCAUUAGCUAGUUGGUAAGGUAACGGCUUACCAAGGCAAUGAUGCAUAGCCGAGUUGAGAGACUGAUCGGCCACAUUGGGACUGAGACACGGCCCAAACUCCUACGGGAGGCAGCAGUAGGGAAUCUUCCACAAUGGACGAAAGUCUGAUGGAGCAACGCCGCGUGAGUGAAGAAGGGUUUCGGCUCGUAAAGCUCUGUUGGUAGUGAAGAAAGAUAGAGGUAGUAACUGGCCUUUAUUUGACGGUAAUUACUUAGAAAGUCACGGCUAACUACGUGCCAGCAGCCGCGGUAAUACGUAGGUGGCAAGCGUUGUCCGGAUUUAUUGGGCGUAAAGCGAGUGCAGGCGGUUCAAUAAGUCUGAUGUGAAAGCCUUCGGCUCAACCGGAGAAUUGCAUCAGAAACUGUUGAACUUGAGUGCAGAAGAGGAGAGUGGAACUCCAUGUGUAGCGGUGGAAUGCGUAGAUAUAUGGAAGAACACCAGUGGCGAAGGCGACUCUCUGGUCUGCAACUGACGCUGAGGCUCGAAAGCAUGGGUAGCGAACAGGAUUAGAUACCCUGGUAGUCCAUGCCGUAAACGAUGAGUGCUAAGUGUU
rnacentral:rRNA from 1 species